UACAGAGGUCUCAAGCGUUGUUCGGAUUCAUUGGGCGUAAAGGGCGCGUAGGCGGCGCGGGCAGUCAACGGUGAAAGCUUGGGGCUCAACCCCGAGUCGGCCGUCGAUACUCCCGUGCUUGAGCACUGUAGAGGCAGGUGGAAUUCCGGGUGUAGCGGUGGAAUGCGUAGAGAUCCGGAAGAACACCGGUGGCGAAGGCGGCCUGCUGGGCAGUAGCUGACGCUGAGGCGCGACAGCGUGGGGAGCAAACAGG
rnacentral:rRNA from 1 species